UAAGUGUGUGAAGAGAUAGAGAUGAGGGAGAAAAAAAGAGGCAGAUGACGGCGUCUGGGGUUGCCCUGGGUUUUAACAGUCUGGAUGAAGCCUGCUGGACUCCUGUCAGGCUUCAAACAGCAGAUGGACGCUCUAGGAAAAGGCGGUGGAGAAGUCCUCAUGUAUCCAUCUGCGGCAGGCAAAAUGGACGCUGAAACAGACGGCCAUCUUGGUUUCAGUGUGGGAACAGAGGGACUGUACAAGCUGAAAGACAAAGAGGGAGAUGAGGAGAGAGAAUGGCAGUUUAGCUUCUUUGUUGAAUGCACCUGAACCUGUAAAUGCUUUUUUCUAUUCUGUCAUUUUCUAUAGAGUGCUGCAGGGAUGAUGUGUUUGAAGGCCAACCUUGGAGUUAGUCAGGCUCCCUCCACAAAGAGAAACCACAUUUUUUCAUUGGAUUUUAGAUCACUGCAGAAAACAACAGCAUGUUUAAUGAUUUUUAAUGCAAUUGCCAGGAGUAAGUUAGACUAUUAAAAAUUUAAACAUGACUUGAAUGUCACCAUCACAAACUGACAAUGAAAUUUAACGUCCUGACAACCUCUAUAGUCUCAUUUAUCAACUGUCAUUUUUAAGACACAUUAAAGCUUUACAUUUAUAGAGUAGGCUAUUUCCUGACAUAUUUUCUAUCUUAUAAUAAAAUGUAACCACAGACCUUAUUUUAACACGAAUGCUGUACUAAAUGCUAAUUCCUGCAGCACUCUUUUGACUAGUAUUUGUAGAGUUUACCUUCGCAGUUGGGUGUGUUAGCAUAGUUAAGCUUGCUAAUUAGCAUUAAACAUAAAGUUCAGCUGAAUGGGAAUUAGUUUUUUAGGUAAUUUGCCAGAUUCAACAGUUAAAUUGAAGUUAACACUUGCUAAUUAGGAUUAACGUUAAACUGAAAUUAAUAGGAAGGUCACUCAUUUAGGAGGUAAUCGGUUUUUUUUACAUCUUAGUUGAAUGUGUUAGCAUGCUGACACUUGCUAAUUAGCAUUAAACAUGAAAUUCAGCUGAAAUUAAAAGAAAUGUCAUUCAUUUUGUAGAUAAUUUGCCAGAUUUGACAUCUUAGCCAAGUGUUAGCAUGCUUGCUUACUAGCAUUAAACAAAGUUUUUCCUUAAAGUUGUACAUUUAAUCUGUCAGGUUACUUGGCAGUAUGUGUAGGUUGUUUGCUGUUCAGCACAUGGUAAUUUGGCAGAGCAAUUAUGGGUGACGGUGCAAGUGGGGAAAAGCCUGUUAGUGUGUUAGCUGUAGCAUUGCUAUAGUGAUAGUUUGAGGGGUUUUUGUGUGUUAGAGCUGUACAGUGAAACUAUAUUCUUAGUCACAUCCUCACCUGGAAAACAUCAGCCGUGGCCAACAACGAGGACACAUGUGACACCCAGGGAGUCUGCUUGUUUCUCAGCUUCCCUCUGCACAAACUUCCUCCUCAUUAUUUCCCCUUGUUGGCUGAAAUGUGGCAGCUGGGCGGCCAUUUUGGCUCAAACUGGAGCUGCAGAGCCACAGGGCGCCCAGCAGUUGCUCAGUAGUCAGUGUAGAUCCUGUGGGGCUGGCAGCAGCUACAUCUGGCUACUGGGUCUCUGCUGGCAGCCGUGAUAUUCAGGACACAGGAGGCUGACAGAAAGGCUCACAUUUAACAACUUUUGAAGUUUUCUAAUGUAUUAAGUGAAAGUAUAGUUGGAAUUCCUUCCCAACAGUUUUUCCUUGUGAUCUUUUAAAUUUCAAAGAAAUGUCUUGCAUGCCCACCCACUGUGAAAAAAAGCCUUGUACAGAGUUAAUCCUAGACUGCAUGGGCAGUUUAGAGAACAGAAGUAAUUUUAUAACUAAUAAAAAAUGACAUUUUGAGAUACAGGGUAUGUUCUGGACCUGGCAUUCAGUGUAGGAUUCUGUGUGUGUCAGUCUACAGCUACAUUGUCUGCUGGGUUUCAGGCCUAUACUUGCACACAUCAAGUGUUUCUAUUGUUUUCUUUAUUACUUUAUACUGUAAAAUAUGAUUUUAUGAAAGUAUUGUAUGUUUGAGCAACCAAAAAGCAUGGAUAAUUUGACAACUUUGUGUUUAUUGACUCAUCAUAAAACAUUCUUCAAACAAUAAAACAAUUUUAAAUGUC